rnacentral:rRNA from 1 species
UACGAAGGGUGCAAGCGUUAAUCGAAAUUACUGGGCGUAAAGCGCGCGUAGGUGGUUCAGCAAGUUGGAUGUGAAAGCCCUGGGCUCAACCUGGGAACUGCAUCCAAAACUACUGAGCUAGAGUACGGUAGAGGGUAGUGGAAUUUCCUGUGUAGCGGUGAAAUGCGUAGAUAUAGGAAGGAACACCAGUGGCGAAGGCGACUACCUGGACUGAUACUGACACUGAGGUGCGAAAGCGUGGGGAGCAAACAGG